UACGGAGGGUGCAAGCGUUGUCCGGAUUUAUUGGUUUAAAGGGUGCGUAGGCGGCGUCAUAAGUCCGUGGUGAAAGCCAACAGCUCAAACUGUUGAACUGCCCAUGAUACUGUGAGGCUUGAGUACAGACGAGGUAGGCGGAAUGGAUCGUGUAGCGGUGAAAUGCAUAGAUACGAUCCAGAACUCCGAUUGCGAAGGCAGCUUACUAGGCUGUAACUGACGUGAGGCACGAAAGCGUGGGGAGCGAACAG
rnacentral:rRNA from 1 species